GCAUUGAUGGUGUAAUGGUAACAUUAGCGCUUCCCAUGCGCUAGCCUCGGGUUCGAUUCCCGGUCAAUGCA